UCAGGACGAACGCUGGCGGCGUGCCUAAUACAUGCAAGUCGAGCGAACAGAAAAGGAGCUUGCUCCUUUGACGUUAGCGGCGGACGGGUGAGUAACACGUGGGCAACCUACCCUAUAGUUUGGGAUAACUCCGGGAAACCGGGGCUAAUACCGAAUAAUCUCUUUUACUUCAUGGUGAAGGAAUGAAAGACGGUUUCGGCUGUCGCUAUAGGAUGGGCCCGCGGCGCAUUAGCUAGUUGGUGAGGUAACGGCUCACCAAGGCGACGAUGCGUAGCCGACCUGAGAGGGUGAUCGGCCACACUGGGACUGAGACACGGCCCAGACUCCUACGGGAGGCAGCAGUAGGGAAUCUUCCACAAUGGGCGAAAGCCUGAUGGAGCAACGCCGCGUGAGUGAAGAAGGUUUUCGGAUCGUAAAACUCUGUUGUAAGGGAAGAACAAGUACAGUAGUAACUGGCUGUACCUGACG
rnacentral:rRNA from 1 species